CAUAGUCAGCAUUCGGUUCGAAAUCGAGGCCUUGGAAAGUUGGGAGGUUCGUCUCCGUUCUCUAUUUCUCAUGAAACCUUGUGCAACUGAGUUAGCAACCCAAAUAAGCCGAGCUCUGAUCUCCGCCUCGAAUCGUACGAAACCUACUCGGACAUGGACUCCUUCGCUGGAGCAGACGCUCCACCGGCUCGGUUGCCGCGAUUCGCUCACCCCACCACUCGUAGCCCGAGUCAUAGAUCCCUUCCUCCUCACCCACCACUCACUUGCACUCGGUUUCUUCAACUGGGCCUCUCAGCAACCAGGGUUCUCCCACACUUCUCUCACCUACCAAUCAGUCCUCAAGUCUCUCUCUUUUUCUCGCCAGUUCAAUGCCAUUGGUACUCUCUUAAAGCAAGUCAGAGCCCAGAAGAUUAAUCUUAGUUCUUCGGUUUACCGUUCGCUGAUUGCUUCAUUGAUCAUAGGAAAGAAGACCCACAAUGCCUUUUUGGUAUUUAGCGAAGCCAGCUCAGUGAUUCCAGAAAUCGGUCCCGAAGUAUGUAAUUCUCUUUUGGCUGCUCUUGCUUCUGAUGGGUAUUUGGAAUAUGCAGAAACGGUGUUCGAUAAAAUGGUUGUUAAAGGUGUUUCUUUUAGUACUCUUGGGUUUGGUGUGUUUAUAUGGAGGUUUAGUAGAAAUUUCGAGGUUGAUAGAGUGUUAAGCAAGUUGGAUGAGGUCAGGAGAGGUAAUUCAGAGAUUAACGGGUCGAUUAUUGUGGUUUUGAUUGUUCACGGGCUUUGUCAGGCGUUGAAGGUGUCGGAGGCUAAUUGGGUUUUGGAUGAGCUGAGGAUUAGGGACUGCAAACCUGAUUUUAUGGCGUAUAGGAUUGUCACGGAAGGGUUUAGGGCAAUAGGAAGUGUGGUUGAUACUGAGAAGGUUUUGAAGAAGAAGAGAAAGCUUGGGGUAGCUCCCAGGGCUGGCGAUUAUAGAGAGUUCAUAUUUGCGCUGGUUUCGGAAAGACGGAUCUGGGAAGCGAAAGAAUUGGGUGAAGUGAUUGUUGGUGGGAAUUUCCCAAUGGAGGAUGACGUGCUUAAUGUGUUAACAGGAUCAGUUUCAGCCAUCGAUCCCGAUUCUGCCAUUGUGUUUUUCAAGUACAUGGUUGGAAAAGAGAGAUUUCCUACACUUUUGACUUUGACCAAUUUGAGUAGGAAUCUUUGCAAGCAUGGGAAGACUGAUGAGUUGUUGGAAAUUUUGCGCCUUCUGUCUCUUAAUGAUUACUUUAAAGAUGUAGAGAGUUACAAUGUGAUGGUUUCAUUCUUGUGCAAGGCUGGCAGGGUGAGAGAAGCCUAUGGGGUUCUUCAGGAGAUGAAGAAGAAAGGAUUCGGACCAGAUGUCUCAUCUUAUAACUCUCUGAUGGAAGGUUGCUGUAGGGAAGAUCUAUUGCGUCCUGCUAGAAAGCUGUGGGAUGAGAUGUUUGCAAGAGGGUGUGGCGGGAAUUUAAAAACUUACAACAUUCUAAUUCAGAAGUUCUCAGAAAUAGGUCAAGUCGAGGAGGCUCAGAGGCUCUUUCACCACAUGUUUGAGAAAGGAGUGGUACCCGAUGCUACAACUUACACGUCCCUCAUUGAAGGGCUCUGUCGAGAAACAGAGUUAGAAGCUGCCCUUAAUGUCUUCAACAAGUCUGUCAAACAGGAUGUGGUUCUUGCACAAACCAUAUUGAGUACAUUUGUUCUAUCUUUAUGCAAAGAAGGUCAUUUUAUAACUGCUUCUAAGUUGCUCCGUGAUCUCACCUGUGAUAUAGGACAUUCAGACUCCCAUAUAAUUUUGCUAAAAUGUUUGGCUGAUGCUAGAGAGUUUCCCAUUGCCAUUGAGCACAUAAAAUGGGUCGAAAAAUCUUCCCCUUCAACGUUGCAAGUUAUAUAUGCUGAACUUUCGGUAUCUCUUUCUUCUUCAAAAUCAGAGCCAAUUUUACAGUUGCUUCAAACAUUACCGGAAUGUCUAAUUUACCCCAAUGAUGUUACUUGGAAGACUCUCUGAAUGUUAGGCUUCAAGAUUAGUGCCCAUUCUAUUGGGGAUUCGGAGUGAAAAAGUCCCCACCCCUCUCUGGAUUACGCUCUAUCAUCCAUAGAACUGGACGGCUAAUAACACAAAUUUUGCAAUUACAAAAAGAAAUACCAGUUGAAAUUGUGGAUAGCAUUCUGUAAUUUGUUACCUGCUGUUUGACGCUCCGAAGUAGUGUAAGCCACUGAUGCGUCAAACGCGGUGUCAAUCGUCUGCAAUAUUCAUAGAUCCAUUUGUAGUCUGAUGAGGAAAAAGUAGAACAUGAACCAAACGCUGAAACCUCUGAUGGGCAACAUUGCUCUUGUAAAUCAUGAACUCUGGCCUAUAAAUAGACCCUUGUUCUAUAGUUAGUUAUGUAGCGAGAGAGAAUAACGAGGGAGAAGGCUACUUAGAUUGGUGAGAGCACCAUGGGUUGGCGUUAUGGCUUGUGGACACCCGGGAAGAUGAUGGGAGGCAGAGGCGAGGCAUAGGUUGUCAAUGGCUAUACAUCUCACGUGGACAAUGGUGUUAACUGUCGAUGAAAGCAAAUAAGGGAAGGUCUAACAUGGUAUCGUGCCUGGAAUUCAACGGACAGAUGUCGUAUACAAUCCUGUUACAUAAUUUUGAAGUCAAAGCAUGAUCAAAACUAAACCCGGUUGUUAGUCCAUUGUUAAAGGGAGAGAGAUGAUCAAGCCUAACAAUCGUGUGAUCGUCAAUUUAACUGAGCAACUUUAAUCCAGAAAAUUGAGAUAAUUUACAAGAGAUGAACAACGUAGGAUUGUCAGUCUUCAAGGCCUUGAAUCCCAGCCAUCAUUAUCAGAUUGCUAAAGACUUUGAAGCCAAGCAGAGCAGGAACACUUCGCCCUGCUUGUAUGCCACUGCCCGUCAGAUGUCGGAACCGCACUCACUGCAUUAGUCGCUGAAAGCACCAGCAAUUGUUUAGCAUGCCUAUGAAUGAUGCCCCGGAAACAGCAGCAUCACUGCAAGAUGAGGUCCUCUGAAAAUGCAAAAUCUUUCUUUACAGAUGCCCGCCAACACAGUCAACUAUUGGAUUCCCAGUUGACUUAUGCCUGCCUUCUGAAACUGGGUCAAAUUCUCCACAUGGUCAAUCAACAAUGAGUAACCCAACAUCCGGAAGAAAAAGCACA